GAUGAACGCUGGCGGCGUGCCUAAUACAUGCAAGUCGAGCGAACAGACGAGGAGCUUGCUCCUCUGACGUUAGCGGCGGACGGGUGAGUAACACGUGGAUAACCUACCUAUAAGACUGGGAUAACUUCGGGAAACCGGAUCUAAUACCGGAUAAUAUAUUGAACCUCAUGGUUCAAUAGUGAAAGACGGUUUUGCUGUCACUUAUAGAUUGAUCCGCGCCGCAUUAGCUAGUUGGUAAGGUAACGGCUUACCAAGGCUACGAUGCGUAGCCGACCUGAGAGCGUGAUCGGACACACUGGAACUGAGACACGGUACAGACUCCUACGGGAGGAAGCAGUAGGGAAUCUUCCGCAAUGGGCGAAAGCCUGACGGAGCAACGCCGCGUGAGUGAUGAAGGUCUUCGGAUCGUAAAACUCUGUUAUUAGGGAAGAACAAAUGUGUAAGUAACUAUGCACGUCUUGACGGUACCUAAUGAGAAAGCCCCGGCUAACUACGUG
rnacentral:rRNA from 1 species